AAGUAAGACAAUAACAUAAAAAUGGCUUUGGACAUUUAAGAGAAUUGCUCAUACCCAAACAAACCAUAAGAUGUAAAAAUCAACUGUGGAACCAAAUCAAGAUUGGAUCAAAGAGCUGAUUGACUGUAGGCCUCCACGUCUGCCACCUACACAGCCACCGAACUUCAUCAUCCUGGCUAGAUCCCAAAGGUAAACUGUCAUAAUAUACCUAGGAUCUGAGAAGUCUGUUUCAAGCAGUUGCGCAGGAUGAGCCUACUCUCCAGUGGUGCCCACCAGUCUGAUGAAACCACUGCUUGCCCGUGAGACAUUAUGUGGGUUAUAAAGAUGGUCGAAGGAAUAUGUCCACUGAGGUCUGAUCUCCAUGACCACCAAGACAGAAGCAAGCCCUGCCAACCUUCCCAGGCGGUGAGUCCUGAGGGAGAAGCAUUAUGAAGAGUCGUUAUGCCUGCUUUUAUAACAGACAGGGUCAGUUCCAAAGGCAUUUGUCAAGGGCACAUCUGUGCAGAGUCCAAUAAGACAUGCACUGCGGAUACAGAUACGACACUUAACCGGGAGAGCAAUUUCUUUGCAAAAGGUUCCCAGUAUUCUGAGAGUUUUGAACUUUAAGAAAGAAAAAUAACGAGGCUGCUGACUCACUGAUACCUUUUGCUCCUGCCCUAGCCGGAAGUAGGAUUCAACCACAGACAGAAAGGGGGAGUGUUGGGGCAGCGGGAGACGACGAGCAAAAUACACUGUGGUUGUUCUCGAGGUUUUUGUUUCCAGAGCCUUGUCUUCUCUCUCUAGCGCUCAACACGUUUAAGAGUCCAGGUGCGGGAUGGCUGCCUUGCAUGAGGCCACCCAGAAGUGAGUGGUCCCAGAAAAGACUCUUUUGACCAUCAACUUAAAACUGUGGCUUUCUGCCCCCCACCUUUUUGUUUGUUUGUUUGUUUUGGGCACAGAGACACUGGAAUAAGACAUUCUCAUCUGACCCUGAGAAGUCCCUUUGGCAAACAUGGUUCUAGAUUCUGUAGCGAAGGUGGUGAUCUUCAGGAAAACUCUCACUUAACCGGCUCGUCCAAACACCAAUGGCCUAAAUAGAAGCCAUCUGCUUAUUUAAUGAGCCUUCCUCUUUAUCGAAGUUGCUUUUUUACUGACACAGGCCACUCCUUUUGCUCCAGUAAUAACCGGACUUGGGUGAAGCACAUACAUAUACCUCGGACUUGAGCAACUCAUUUAUCUCAACCUUGUCGUGCCUCAAACUGAUAGAGAAAGAGAGAUGCCGAUCCUUCCUUGUCCAAGUGUGGGCACUGAGGAAGCUUCUUUAAAGAACUAUGAGAAACAUAGUAAGAGAUGAUAAAAAUAAAAAAUGGGGAAGUAAACUGUAUCAUUACUUUAAAACUGGCUUAAGUAGGCAAACAAAGAUUCCAUGUAGCAGAAGCCCUUUUGAUCUGUGGUCACUGAAUAUUUAGCAAUUUCACUGUAUGUCGUUAGCUCUAAACACAUUAUACCAUCUACGUAACUCUUCAGCAACUGUUAGAUGAGCAGGCAUAUCAUAGCACAUGGAGAAUUUUCAGAUUUAACUUUUCUUUUUUUUUUUUUUUACUUUUUUCUUUAUACGACUUUAUCAGAGUCCACCUCUGGGUCACCUGAUUUCCUGGGGUAAGAUUAUGUUUCUAUUUUAAGAUCUGAAAAUAGUAUUUUACCACCCUUUUUUUUUUUAUGGACCCGUUUGAGAAACUA